CGAGUUUGAUCCUGGCUCAGAUUGAACGCUGGCGGCAGGCCUAACACAUGCAAGUCGAGCGAACCCUUCGGGGUUAGCGGCGGACGGGUUAGUAACGCGUGGGAAUAUACCCUUUGGUACGGAAUAGCCUCGGGAAACUGAGAGUAAUACCGUAUGUGCCCUUCGGGGGAAAGAUUUAUCGCCAAAGGAUUAGCCCGCGUUGGAUUAGAUAGUUGGUGGGGUAAUGGCCUACCAAGUCUACGAUCCAUAGCUGGUUUGAGAGGAUGAUCAGCAACACUGGGACUGAGACACGGCCCAGACUCCUACGGGAGGCAGCAGUGGGGAAUCUUAGACAAUGGGCGCAAGCCUGAUCUAGCCAUGCCGCGUGGACGAUGAAGGCCUUAGGGUUGUAAAGUCCUUUCAGAUGGGAAGAUAAUGACGGUACCAUCAGAAGAAGCCCCGGCUAACUCCGUG
rnacentral:rRNA from 1 species